rnacentral:ncRNA from 1 species
AUUUAAUGAGACCCCAUAAAGGGUGUUGGUUGAUAUAGACAGCGGACGGUAGCCAUGGAAGUCGGUACCCGCUAAGGAGUGUGUAAUAACUCACAAGCCGAAUCGACUAGCCCUGAAAAUGAGUUUGCUAAUAU